GCUACUUUCUUCAUCUGUCGUUCCUAUUAUCUCCUCCAUUUUCUCACAGAGCAUCACUUCAAUCCUUUCCAGGUUUACGAGGUUUGGCAGCAACACAAGUGGGAACAACAUCUUCAUACUAUUACAUCCACCACAAUAAAACUUUUUAAGACCAAAAAACAUACCAUUAUAUGGUGGCAAUGGUGGUGGAGCAGAGCAAAACCAAGAAGAUGAAACCAAGCUCUCCAUGCUUUUGCAAUUUGAAAUGCUGAUGUCCUCCAGUUCAGUUGCAUUCUCUAAUGACAAAACAUCACAUAAACAUCUUGCAUCGAUGAAUUGACAAACCAGUCCUUGAAUGCCAUUUAAGAACUUGACCUGAAAAUCUCUAUCUUUGUUGAUAUUCAAAUUACCCAACGCAACUGUUUUACUUGGAAACUUUUCAACACCAUAUAAGAAUUUCAGAAUUCCCACUGAAAUUCUGUAUGUGCUUAAUGAUUGGAUCCCAUCCCGACAUCUGAGAAACUCCAUGAAGUCUGAGAGACCUUCGAAAUGGCAUUCCAAAGUUUCCAAAUUUCUCAAGGAUACUACUUCCUUUCCUUUAAUUGUUAUCGGAGCAUAACAUUCCUCAAAAACCUCUUCUAGUACAAAGACUUGCAGGUGAGAGAGUUUUGGUAAUAUCCCACUAGGAAACUCCUUUUCACCACAUCCAUUCAUUCUAAGAUACCUCAGGUUGGAUAGACAUUCCAUUCCUUGCGGCAUCUUUUCAAGCAUGGUCCAAGAGAGAUCCAACCUCUUCAGUGCCUUGAGCUUCUUUAAUGAUGGAACGUAUCUUAACUUCCAACAACCAUUGAGCAAUAAUGCAGUGAGACUCAUCAAAUCAGAAACAGACUCUGGCAAAUUUUUAAUACCUGUGCAAGACAGAUCGAGGACCUUGAGCCCAUGCAAUUGCUUGAAAAAUGAAUCCGCAAUAGAUCGCAACCCUUCAUUAUCACGUAGAAAUAGAGAUGACAAAUUUGGACACAUUGGUGAAUGGCUGGAAGGAAUUUCUUCGAUCUCGUUUUGCAUUAGUGAAACUAUCGUCAGAUUCUCCGUCCACUCCUCUGCAUCUGGCAACUCUUUUAAUUGUGCACCUGCUUUAACCAUGUAUUGAAGGUUCUCUUGUAGUAUAUGGAUGGCCAUGUCCCUAAUCAAGUCAUGCAUCUUGACACUUCUACUACCAUCAUACUCCAUUUUAACACUUUCCAUUAGGCAAACAUUUUCAAGUCUAUUAAGCAUCGUCUGGCCCUCGUCAAAUGCAUCUUUCCUGCUCCUUAUUCCUUUAAUAAUUCCCUCAUCGAUCAAAUAACCUAUCAACUCCUCCCUUUCAAUCUCACUAUCUUCGGGAAAUAAUGCACAGUACAAGAGACAUUGUUGUAGUACUAAAUCACCUAAUUGAUCGUAACUAAACCUCAAUAACUUGAAUACUUCUGUGUCCCCAAAUUCUGAUUCUCUCAAUUUCUUCAAUGUAUUUCUCCACUCAUGUAGAUCAUCCACUCCCAUCAAGCUUCCUGCCACUGUAAUAAUUCCCAAUGGCAAACCAGCACAUUCCCUUGCAAUAUCUCUCGCAAUUCCUUCCACUUCUGAUGAAAGUGUUAUGUCACGUCCAAGUUUCUCCAUGAACAAAUUCCAAGCUUCACCAUCAGAAAGUGGCUUCACUUUGAUUUUGUGUUGGCAAGCAAUCCGAUGACAAAUUGUUUCUGAUCGAGUUGUCAAAAUCAGCUUGCAUCCUUUCAACGGGACAGGAAUUCCCACUUUGUGUAGCUCAAAAUUGUUCCACAAAUCAUCUAAAAUGAGAAUCCACUUUUGUUUCUUCCUUAGUUCUUCUGACAAUUUGGCAGCUCUAUGCAGAUCAUCAUCUUCACUUGAAAGAUCUAAAUAAAGACGUUUAGCAAUAAGAUUCUGCAAUCUAUUAAUGCUGAAAUCUUGAGACACAGUCACCCACAAAACAUGAUUACAAAUAUCUGGUUUUUGUAGAAGCUCAUUAUGAAUAUGUUGCAGUAUUGUUGUUUUACCAACUCCCCCCAUCCCAUAAAUGCCAAUGAUUGGGACUUUAUCAUCCAUUAACAAAGACCAUAUCACCUUCAUAUUCUCUUCAAAUGCUUGACCCACUGACUUUGUAGAGCUAGUGGGUAAUGGAACUCCUCUAGUCUUGUGGUAUUUCAGACUUUCAGAAGAUCUAGCUCCCACGCCAGCCUGCACUACUGAACUUCCACUAUUCUCCACAUCCUCCUCCUCCACUGGUUCUGUCCUCACUCUAACCAUGUUCUGCACAUCAUACAUAACGACAUCAUUGUUUACUGAUGGAGCAAAUAGUUGAUCAUAAUAUCUUCCAUGGUCAAGACACAAUGGAUCUGUUGGUUGGGAUGAAUCUCCUCGAGGCUCAUCAGCUUGAUUAAUUGAUGGCCUCUCACAAGAGCUACCUCUCUCCAGAUGCUGCACUUGUUCUGUUCUCGCUACAGUUUCAAAUCCAUCAUGCAGACGCUCCACAUCCUCAUCUUCCUGCAUUAAAUACGUAGAGAUUUCAUUCAGCUUCUGCUCCUUUGAAAGGGCAGAGUGUAUCUGAACCCAAGUGCCAUCAACAAAUUGAUCCACUACACCUGUUCCUGGUGUUGCUUCUCCUCUAUUCUCAUGAGCAUCAACUCUGAGUCUCCAAGGAGAGACACUUCUGUCAACAUGCUGAAAAGAUCCUUCACCAGUGUACUCCAUGCCUUGAACUCCCGCUUGCAUCCUUCCAGCAUCCCCUGCCAAAUUAACAAGUACUGCAUUGUCUUGUUCUUGUGGACAGGUGGAAAUGGCAUAAUCAUUAACAUUGCUUGAACUUGCUAUGCUUUUAUGUCUUUUGUUGCACCCAUUCAUAGGCUAGGAAGGCUGCUUCUUGAACUUCUUUAGGCACCUGACCACAAAUGCCAACACCAUGCCCUCUCUCUCCCGAAAAAUGCCAUUUGAUCCUCGAAAUGGACGUACCAUUGGCAAAUAAAUGCCCACAAAAGUUACACUUCAUGCUUCCAUUAUUCAUAUCUUCAACUUCCUUCCAAAACGGAUCAUCUGAUCUACCCAUUUUGUCCUAUAGAUAAAAAGGGUCAAAAUAUUGAAUAAAAAUUAAUGGAAGUACAUUAAUUGGAAAAGGAAGGUGAAACUAAUAAUAAGUUACAAACAGCAAAGAAAUUAAGAAGAAAAAACAAUGAAUUCAAGGUUAACUUGGGGUCAAUUUAAUUAGUAUGAACUCCAUAAGGCAUGGAUUGUUAAAACUGAGAAAGAUCAAAUUAUUUUUAUUUUUGGAAACUGUUGAUGAUCCUAACUCCAAAGUUUCUCAUUAGAAUUUAUACAACUUGUGGUUUCCUUGAAAGAUUCAAAUCAGAGUUACAUGUGAAAAACAAAAUGAAGAAGAUGGAGUAUAAAUAAUGUACCUGGAUUCAAAUUGUUCUUCAAGUGCUGGUUUGCUUAAGCAGUAUUCAGCAAAAAAGACAAGAACAGAGUAGAAUAUAUAGUUUAAAAAUAACAAGGAAGUUCCAAGAUGUUGAACUCCGGAUGAUUUGAUUCAAUCAGAAAAGGAAGCACUGAUCAUCAGAAAAGUUUAAGAAAUUUGAUGAGGGAAUUUGGGAAGUCAAUGGUAUAAUGAGAUGAGAUGCGGAAGAUAAUGUUACAGUAGCAAAGAUAUUAUUCUAAUAAAUCUAUAAAUCAUGUUAAUUUUAUAAAAAAAUAAAAAAUAAAUAAAUAUAUUAUCAAACCAGCCUAAUAUUGAAAUAAAAAAAAAAAUUUAAAAACAAAAAAUAAAAGUUGAAUUAUUUUGUAAUUUACAAUGAAAUAGGUGUCGAUAGAUGAUGAUUCUUCAAUGCAGAUUAAAAUAAAGCAAAGUGAAUAUUGAAAAAAGUACUUCAAUUCUACGAACAGCAGAUAUAUAGUUCAAUUCGAAGUUGAAUUCCCAAAAUUCCCACUUAAAGGGUAUAGAUAAUUAAAUCAACACUAAACCAAAUAUAACCCUUUUGAAAAACCAUUCAUUCAAUAGAAAAUAAUUAUCCCUAUUAAGAAAAUCCAAUGACGACAAUAUACUUAAGGAGCAAUAUUACAGCAAAGAAAUUAAAUCAAUACAGGUAAAUAAAUUAUCCAAAGAUUAAUUCAUUCAAUAGAAAAAACAUGACUGACUCCAUAAACGGCAUAAAUCUGAACAAAAGAGUUAGAAUAAUUGGAAAUCUGAACAAUUUGUGUACCCAUCACUGUAUUGGACAUUAAAAAUUUCCCGAGAAGAUUUUUGCACCAAGCAUUCAUAGCCAUUCCUUUCCUUGCAUGUUCUCCUUCUUUCUUUUUCUUUCUCUGGUGCAUUGCUGCCAAACCGGCGUUUUGUAAAAAUUCAAAAUUUUUUUUUUUUUUUUUUGCUAAAAUUGAGUGACGGUUGUACUUUCUGGAUUGUUUUGAUGUGCUGAUGUCAAAAAUAAUUUUUAAAAAAUAAAAAAACAUCAUUUACAUGCUUUUCGACAUGAAAAGCUAUUUAAAAAGCAACCGCUACCACACUGCCAAACACGCUCUUAAAGUAGGCAACCCCACUUUUCAACCUCCUUUUUCAUCACCUCUCCGUGCUAUAUUUUAGGACUUCUUUGGCAGCCACGUACAUGCCUUAGGAGAUCUUUUUUUUUUUUUUUUUGAGAAGUUUAGAAGAUUUUUUUUCUGAAAUCCUCAUUAAAGGCUAAUUUAUAGUUAAAGACCUCUCCAUGCCUUAGGAGAUAUUUUUUUUUUUUUUGAGAAGUUUAGGAGAUCGUUUUUAUGAAAUCCUCAUUAAAGGCUAAUUUGUAGCCCUUUAAGAAACCUCUCCAACGGGUCAAGAAUCACAGUAAUUCGUUACGUGGGUGGAAAGUUAUGAUUAAAAUAAUAUCACUUGAUAACUUUAAAAGUGUGAUUGUGGUUAUUUUUUAAAAUAUUUUUUAGAUGACUUAUUUAUUUGUUAAAGAGAUUCAGAUGAAAAAUAGGAAAUAUAAACGUUGUUGUUAAUGAUUUAAUUCUUUGUUUUAAUGCUAAAUUAUUUGUCACUUGUUGUAAACAAGUUUAAUGAAAGGUAAUUAAUUAAUACUGAUCAAGUUAAUUCAUGAAUCAGUAAAAAACAAUUUCAUUGAAUCAUUAUGUCAGAAAAAUAUUGGAUAAAAAUUAAUGGCAGUCCCACUAAUUGGAAAAGAAAAGGGUGAAACUAAAAUAAAAAAUUUACCGCACGUGUGCAGCGUUGCGACAAAAACAUUCACUCUCAAAUCGUUAUUUAAUGUGGUAAAUGUGAGGAGACAAGGAAUUCUUAUCUUUUAUUAGUGAAAAAAUAAAAUGGGAGUCACCACCUAGUAUUUUUGUAACUAGAAACUUUAACUGGUCUCAGAGAUCAAGUAUGGGGACUGCUUGCGUAAAGGGAAGGUUUUAGCACCCAAAAUACGCCCUACCUAAGGUAAGUUGCAUUGUUUAAUUGUUUGAUAAAAUCUAAGGUCUUGUCGUGUUUUUUAGUUGUUGGUCCGUCUAUAAUUUAAAAAAAAAAUCAUCUUCAGUAAAGAGAUCUUUAUCUUAUUGGGUAUGACUUAACUGUUUUAACGUCAACAAAAGAAUUUUAAUAUCCAAAAUACAUCUUACAUAUAAGAUCAUAACCCUAGAUAUUAAAGGAAAACAAAAUAAGUUUUUUUGAAAUUUUUGAAAUAUUGGCCUAGUUCUCGUCACUUUAAUAAACUGUUUAUUAAAAUCAAAAUGCAUGUUAAUAUAAAUUUUUGAAUCUUUGUUGUAUGAAAAUAUGAUAUGAUUUUUUUUUUUGAAAGAGUAGGCCGUAUGCAUGAAAACAAAAAAUAUAUUUUUUAUGUUUUUAUCAAAAACCGGGUAUUUUAAUACCAAAUUUGUAUCUUUACAGUAUAAAAAUACAAACCAAUAUUAAUUAAAAUACAAUAAAAUUUUUUUCAAAAAUCACUAAUUUUUGAAAAUAUUUAUUCUAUUUUAUUAUAAUUAAUUUUGUUUUAAGCUGGACAUGGUGUAAUUAAUCUUCAAGUGCACAGUGUUUGUGCAUUGUCUGAAAAAUUGGAGAAGCUUACCUGGAAGCAACGAAGGCAACAACAAGCGACCUCUAUCUUCUUCUUUUCGUUUGUAAAUUCUGGUUCAACUGGUUUCCCUGUUUUCCUUUCCUAUUCUUCUUUCUCCUCUCUCGUUCUCCCCACUGUCUCGUUCUUUUUUCUUUCUUUUUUUGCUGUGUUUCUGCCUUGUUCUUUUUUCUUUCCCUCUCUAUGUCGUCUUUAUCUCCCUCCUUCAACGUUCUCCCCUCUCUGCACUGACUUCGUGGUGGUGCUGCUGCGCUCGUUGGUUCACAGUGGCGGCUUCGCGGUUGCAGAUGAAGAUGACAGUGUGGAAGGGCUGAUCCACCAACACCUCUCCUCUCUCCUUUCUUCCUCUUCUGUCCGUUCUCCCCCCUGUCUUUCCCCUCUCUCACUGUCUUUUUUUCUCUGUCAUUCUUUGCUGUCUCGUUCCCUCUGUCCCCCCUCUGGUUUUUCUUCUCUCCCUCUCUGGUUCUCUCAAACGUCCCCUGGAGCUGCUGCCUGAAGAUGAAGACGAAGUUGAGGGUGAUCAGUGCUGUGAUCGAGCGACGUUUUUUUCUUUCCUUCUGCUACUGUUUUCAUUCCUGCACUCUUCUUCUUCUUUGUUUCUGAUUUUCUGAAAUGAAGAAGACGAUGGCAACGCUGGUUCUGAUCUCAAUGAUUUCCUCUGUUUACAUUAUUUCCUUCUGCUUUUCUGAUCUUCUUUCUUCCCGGCUCCUCCCUCCUUUUCCUUCUCUCGUUCUCCCCUUUUAUAGCCAAAACUGCAUACGUUCAGGACCAUUAUUGCAGUGGUAACGGUAGAGAAAUAAUAGCUGUGAAACGUUACCAUAAUCUGUGGCAUUUGUUGCUGAAAACGGUUCCUGUUUGCUGAAACGGCUGCUUUGAAGAGGGUGAUGAACAGUGUCUAAGGAAACAGCGCCGUUUCAUUAUUCAAAUGAAUAUUUUAGAUUCGGUCCCUGGGUUUUUUGAAAAUUUUGUAAUCAAGCCCCCGGAUGAAUUGUAAUUGGAUCCCUUUAUUUUAUCACCUUUUCUGGUUUGGUCCUUGGUUUCUGAUUGUUUUAAUUAAAUUCCUAAUUGACCAUCAGACUUCAAUAAUUACGCAAUUAAACCUCUGAUUUAACCAAAUCAACUCUUUAAAAUUAUAAUUGGACCCAUAACUUUAAUUACUUUCAAUAAAAACCUAAAUUGACUUAAAAAAUUAAUUUUUCUUACAAUUAAACCCUCCAUAAGUUCAAUUAAUCCUUGGAUAAAAUUUAAUUGAGUCCAUAAAUAUUUUAUUUUGGACUUUUUUUUUUAAUUUAAAUUUUCUUUGUCAAUAGGACUCUUAUCAGUAGAAAAUAUAACAUCAAAUUUCAAUUCUUGUAUUUCUGAACCUCCUCAACCAAUUCAUAUGUUUUGUAUGAACGUUCCAGUGUCCUUUUCUUGCUCCUGUUAUUAUUAUUUUUUUUUAUUCAUUUCAAAUAUUUUUUUAUUUUUUUAUUUUUUGUAUGGAACCCAAAAAAAUGAGUAACAAUAAAGUUAAAAACAGCAAAGAAUUUUGAAAAGAUAAAAACAAUGAGUUCAAGGUUUAGGGUUAUAUAAUUUAGUAUGAACACCACAGGGCAUGGAUUAUAAAAUCCGAGAAAAAGAUCGAUUUAUUUAUCAUGGAUUUCUUUAAAGAUUCAAACCAUAUAUAGUUACAUAUAGAGAAACAAAAACACCAACAAGAUGAAGUACAAAUAAUUUACCUGGAUUCAAGAUGUUCUUCAAGUGCUAGCUGGUUUGCUUGAGCAGUGGUCAGCCAAAAGAAAAGGAAGAGAAAUCACAGAUCAGAGAAGAAUAUUUGGCUUAGAAAAAUAAUAAAGUUGCAGUUAACAUAAACUAGUUCGUACUGAUCAUGGGCUGUGGAAAGGAAAAUAGGGAAUUCUAUUGUGAGAUGAGAUGUGACGUGGAAGAGAAUGUUAGGUCAGCUAAAUAAUAAUUAAUUGACGUAUUGUUUGACAGGAAGGAAAUUGCCAGGAAGCAACCCCCCGCUUACCUACCAAACAUUAUAUUAUAAGAUAUAGAGAGUUAACGUGUGGACCCACCCCAAUGUUCAAACUUUGAAGGAGCUGCCGUGAACAUGUAAACACACGAAUAUGAGAAAGAACAGCAUAUUUCUGCAUGUGUGAAGUUGUUUCUGAUAAUAUUUUUUAUUUAAAAAUAUAUUAAAAUAAUAUUUUAAUUUUUUUUUAAUAUCAACAUAUUCAAAUAAUUCAAAAAAAAUAAAAAAAAUAAAAAUUUAAAAAAAAAUCACUGCGACUGUAAGGACAAACCAGCUGUGACUAUGCUAGUAAGUGUGAGAUUGAUAGCAAAGACGAAAGCAUACCAAUGCAACAAUCACAUUCUCAAAUAUUCAGAUUUUAAAAAAAACAUAUCCAAAUAUAGUUUUAAAGUUGUGUCAAAUGCAGAAUGCUUUAAUUAAUACGAGGAAACUCUUGUUUAUAAUAUAGUUUUAUACAGGGACCCGUUAUAAAUAAUUUGGUAUUGUAAUAACAAUUAUUUUUUUAAGUAUUUUUUAUUUCAAAAUAUAUUAAAAUAAUAAUUUUUUUAUAUUUUAAAAUUUAUUUCUAUAUUAACAUAUUAAAACAAUAUAAAAAUAUCUAAAAAAUAAUUUUAAAAAAAUUAAAAUUUAAUUUUAAAAAAAAUAUUUAUUUGCCUGGUACUGGGCUUCCUCGGGACACAACGCUGCACUUCCUUAAAUGAAAAUAUUAAAGUCAGUGUGUGCAUCAGACCUCAUCCUCAAUUGACUCCGAUUGUUGAAAUAACUUAAUCUUCUAAUAAAGUUUGUUUUUGAAUAUAUAUUCUAUCCUUACUAAAUUAUUAGGAAAUAACAUUAUAACAUUUUUAAGUCUGCUUAAUUUAUUUGGUUUAAGAUACUAUUUUAAUAUAGUAUUAGAUAUUUAAUAACUUACGAGUUAAUUACUUAUUAAAAUAAUUCAGAUUAAUUAUUUUUAUUAAAAUAAUAUUAUUUCAUUUAUUUCUAUUAACAUUGCUAGAUAUGAAGUAGUUUGGUUUGAUUAGAUGAUUCAAUUACAAAUCCAAUCUAAAUUAAGGUUAAAAUUUUGAGUUUUUUAAAAUAAAUCAUCAAACUAGACAGGUUUAACAACUAAUAUAUAUAUAUAUAUUAUUCAACCAAAUAAUUGCUUGUGACAUAUAUGUUGCGAGCUUCCUAGUAUUAAAAAUUUAAGAUUAUCAAAUAAUUAAACUUUUUAUCUAAACCAAUAAAUUUUAUGUGUCUAUUUUAAAAUUUGGUUUUAAAAAGAAAAUCGAAAUGACAUAACAAACAAUACCUAUAAAUCUUUUAUAUUACCGAUUAACAUAACCAGUGCACCCAUUUAUCAUUCUUAAGGUCAAUAUUUAGAAAUAAAUAAAUAAAAGCUACGUACCAAUAUUUAAUUUAAGUAACCUCAAAGACUACUAAUUUAGCUUUUGAUAUUAAAAGGACGUAUGUCGUUACUCUCUGCCUAGUUGAUGAGGCAAACCUGACAUACUCUCUGCCUAGUUGACGAAGCAAAUAUCAGGUCUUCUAUCACCGCUAUUUCCUGCUAACUCUUUGCCUCAUAUUUUAAGUUAUAUCUAUCUAGUUUGCUUAAUUUAAGAUGGAAUAUUUAUGACUUUUAUACGUAUUAAAUCAAUAUAAUUGUUUUGACUUAUCAUGAUAAACAUGACGUAAUCAUAUUAUAAAACCAAAAUUCAAUGGUGUAUCUAAUUAUCAAAAAGGUAUAAAUAUUAAGUUAAACGUGUGGACCACCCCUAUGAAGCUUGGAAGAAGAUGCCUAGAAAAUGUAAACACGUGAGUAUUGGAAACAAUUACAUCCUUUUCUUUUUAAAAUGUUUUUUUAUUUUUUAAAUUUUUUUAAUAAAAAAAUAAUAAUAAAUAUGUGAUUAAGUAAGAGCAGGUGAUUGCUUUUGUUUUUAGUUGUUUUUUCAAAAAAGAUAAAUAGAUUUUUUUAAUGUUUUUUUUUAAUUUUAAUAUAUUAGUAUUAAAAAUAAAAUAAAUAAAUAAAUCAUGUAGUCUAUUUUUAAAUCAAUCAAGGUCAAAAUCGAAAAACAAUCAAUUAAAAAAAUUAAAAAAAACAUAUUCGAUCAGUGGGUAAACCUAUUAAAUCUGUGAAUUAGGUAACUUGAGCUAACACAUCAAACUCAUAAACAAGGUUAUGCACUCCAACAGGAUUAUAUUUUUUAAAAAUAAAAUUUAUUAUUUAACAAUAUGAUAAUAAAAAUAGAUAAUUAUAAAAUUAAACACCAGUGCAAUAAUAAUAUAUAUAUUUUUAGACCGCGAUAACAUCAUAUAAAGAAAAAUAAAACCAAUUAUGAAACUAAAUUCUAAACCAACCCAAAUAUGAAAUAGAAAAAAAAUUAAAAAAAUUGAUAACCAAAAAAAGGAAAGGAAAAGAAAAAAAAAAGAAGAAGAAGCAAAAUACUAUAAAUUAUUAUUGUAAUCUAUAAUAAAAUGGGUGUGGAUGAAUAGUUGUUCUCCCACACCGUUUAGCUUUUUUAAAAAAAUUAAUAAGCAAAAAAAUACUUCAUUAAACCAGUAAACUAGUAUAAAACAUGUUAACUUUAUAAAAAAAUAAAAUAAAAAUAAAAAAAUUAUAAAGUUAAAUUUUAAAUCACCCAAUGUGAAAUAAACAAAAACAAAUUUAAAAAAAAAAAAAAAAAAAAACACAUUGGAUUACUUAUUAUAAUUUACAAUGAAAUGGGUGUGAAUACGUCUCUUAACUAUUCGUGAGCUUCUUAUUCGUUCUUAGUUUUUCUUGUUUUUUUUUUUCUCUGAUGGAAUUCCCACACGUCUUCUUUAUGGGCAGCUCCACUUUUAAACCCGCUUUUUCAUCAUGUCCCCAUGGUCCCCGUGUCCCACAUGUUUUCAUCAAAAACCUAAAUUUUAGGACUUCUUUGGCAACCAUCUAAAAAUAUAUAAAAAUAAUAUUUAUAUUUUUUAAAAAUUAUUUUUACCAUCACUACAUUAAAAUAAUUUAAAAAUAUAAAAAUUUUAUUUAAAAAAAAUCAAAAUUUUUAAAAACACAAGCAUUCCCAAACAAGGUAACGCGUCAAGAAUCACAACAAUCUGACAUGUGAGUGGAAAGUUGUGAUUAUAAAACAUUACUACUUUUAGAGUGAUUUUGACAGCGUAGCACGAAAUGUACAUGCUUUAGUUUUUUUUUUUUUUUAAAAAUCAUCAUCAGAGACUAUUUUAUAUACCGGGGAGCUUGUUUUGAACGCGGUAAUAAUGAUAUUUUAAAGUAUGUUUUAUCUAAAAACAUAUAAAAUAAUAUUUUUAUUUUUAAAAAGUUAUUUUUAACAUUAACAUAUUAAAAUAAUCUACAAAUAUAAAAAAAAUAUUUAAAAAAUCAAAAUUUUUAAAAACACAAGUAGUCCCAAACAAGAUAACACAUCAAGAAUCACAACAAUCUGACAUGUAAGUGGAAAGUUGUGAUUAAAAUACUUAAAGUACAUCCAGGCUAUUUCCAAGGAAAAAAAAAAACAUUACUAUUUUUAGAGUGAUUUUGACAGCGAAGUAGGAAAUGUAAUUAUUGUUAUUUUUAAAAUAUUUUUUUUAUUUAUAAGUAUAUUAAAAUAAAAAUUGUUAAUUUCGUUUCGUUUUAUUUGUAAUGGUUUCAUAUCAAUUCAAAAAAUAAAAUAAAACAAAAUAACUUUUAUCUUAUUUCAAAUCUCGGUCUCUUCCAGAUUUUUUGGCUAAAUUUCGUUCAAAAUGUUCCUGUUUCAUUUCACACGUUCUAUUCCGGUCUUAAAAAGCCAUUGAAUCAAAUUGAAUCUAGUUCAAUUAAUUAAUUAAACCAUUAAAGUAUAAAAAGCUCUUUUUCAUUACUAUUUUCAUUAACUAUGAUAUUAAUUUUUUAAACUUAGAUUUAUCAUUAAUAUAUAUGGUUUAUAUUCAUGUUAUUUUUUUUUAAGUUUAUACUUUGUAGGAAUUUAAGCAAAAAAAUAGAUGUUUUAGAUUUCAUUAGUCUUGAUAACAUUGAUCUAUCUUUAUAUUUAAAAUAUUAGUGUUAAAAUAUUUUAAUUUCAUGAUAUUUUGAUAUUUUAUUGAAGUUGAAUUGUUUAAAUUAAAAAAUUAUUUAAUCUUAAUUAUUUAAAUUUUUUUUAAAUUUUUAAAUUAUAUUUCAUCACGUCUCCAUGAUCCACGUUGUGUCAAAAACAAAUUGCCUAAAAUUUAGGCUUUAGCAGUUCUGUUUUUGAAAUCCUCAUUAGUGAAAUUUCACGACUGCUUUAGCAGUUCCUUUUUUGUGUGCUUUCAUCUUAAAUUCGUGACCAAAAGGUAAAUACAAUAAAAUUUUAGAUUAUAAUUAAAAAUAAAAAAAAUAAUAAUUAUAGGGAUCAGAAUUUUAAAAAUCACGUAUAUGCUAAAUCACGUAUAUGCUACUUUCUAGUUUUAGUAUUAAAUUUAGUAUUUAAAAAAUGUGUUUAUGAAUAUGACAGUUUCAGGUUUAGAUAUUCAUACUCUCUCUUAGACAAUUUAAAAAUGUGUGUAGAAGAAUACUUUCAGUGAUGAUUUAUAAUAGUGAAUAUAUUUAUUAUUUUAUUAGGUUACUUUAAUGAUAAAUCAAUAUAGUAUUUUUUUAUUUUUUGGAUUUUCAUGUUGGGGAAACUCAAUACGAUGAAAAUAAAAUAUUAAUCAAACUUAAAAUUAUAAUUGUUUAUCUAUCGAAUUAAAAAAAAAAUAUGACAAUUCAGUAGUCUUUAAUGAAAUAAAAAAAAUGAAAAAUGUUAUUUAUGUCAUUGUAAGCACACUAUAUUAUAUUACUUUACAAAGGGACGAAAGACAUCCUUUGCGUUAGGAUGCUCCCACUCCACCACUGACUCCCACCAUCUUUUUGGACUUAAAUAGAUAUUUUUAAGAGAUGGGGGAGGAGAUGGCUGGCCAUUUUCGAGCAACGGAAGACAAAUUGGCAUCCUCUUCAGCUUCUCACAAUAUGUUACAUCAAUAUCUUCAAGAGAAUUGCAAAUCAGUUUUGCUCUGCAAAUGCUUUUCAGUUCAGGUAAAAUAACCAAUUUCAGAAUUCUUAACUUUGGGAGAAUGACUUCCGUGAUGGAAUUGGAGCUGCUGCUUUCUUCAUCUGUUGUUCCUAUUAUCUCCUCCAUUUUCUCACAGCACUUCACUUCAAUCCUUUCCAGGUUUACGAGGUUUGGCAGCAGCACAAGUGGGAACAACUUCUUCAUACUCUUACAUCCAUAACAAAAAAACCUUUUAAUACUGGAAAACAUACCAUUAUAUGAUGGCAAUGGUGGUGGAGCAGAGCAGAACCAAGAAGAUGAAACCAAGCUCUCCAUGUUAUAGCAUUCCCCAAUGCUGAUUUCCUUCAGUUCAGUUGCAUUCUCUAAUGACAAAACAUCACAUAAACUUCUUGCAUCGAUGCAUUCACAAAUCAGUCCUUGAAUGCCAUUUAAGAACUUGACCUGAAAAUCUCUGUCUUCGUUGAUACUCAAAUUACCCAACCCAACUGUUUUCAAACUUUCAAUGCCAAAUCUACCCACCUCUCCUACUAAAAUCUUGCAUGUGCUUAAUGAUAGGAUCCCAUCCCGAGAUCUGAGAUACUCCAUUAAGUCAGGGAGACCUUCGAAAUGGCAUUCCAAAGUUUCCAAAUUUCUCAAGGAUCCUACUUCCUUUCCUUUUAACUGUUAUCGGAGCAUCACCUCGCGGCAUAAACUCUUCUAGUACAAAGACUUGCAGGUGAGAGAGUUUUGGUAAUAUCCCACUAGGAAACGCCUUUUCACCACAUCCAUCCAUACUAAGAUACCUCAGGUUGGUUAGGCAUUCCAUUCCUUGCGGCAUCUUUUCAAGCCUAGUAUAAGAGAGAUCCAACCUCUUCAGUGCCGUGAGCUUCUUUAAUGAUGGAACAUGACGUAACUUCUCACACAUUUUGAGCAAUAACGCAGUGAGACUCACCAAAUCAGAGACAGAGUCUGGCAAGUUUCCAAUAUUUGUCCAAGACAGAUCGAGGACCUUGAGCCCAUGCAAUUGCUUGAAAAAUGAAUCCGCAACAAAUCCCAACCCUUUAUUAUCACAUAGAAAUAGAGUUGAUAGAUAGGGACACCUUGGUGAAUAGCUGGAAGGAAUUUCUUUGAUAUUGUUUUGCAUUAGUGAGACUCUUGUGAGAUUCUCUGUCCACUCCUCUGCAUCUGGCAACUCUUCUAAUUGCGCACCUGCUUUAACCAUGACUUGAGAGUCGUCUUGCAGUAUUUGGAUGGCCAUGUCCCUAAUCAAGUCAUGCAUCUUGACAAGUCCAUAAUCCAUUUGAGCACUUUCCAAUAGGCAGACAUUUUCAAGUCUAUUAAGCAUCGUGUGGCCCUCAUCAAAUGCAUCUCCCCUGCUCCUCUUUCCUUUAAUUAUUCCCUCAUCGAUCAAAUAACCUAUCAACUCCUCCCUUGCAAUCAUAUCAUCUUCAGGAAAUAAUGCACAGUACAAGAGACAUUGCUUUAGUGCUAAAUCACCUAACCGAUCAUAACUAAACCUCAAUAACCUGAAUACUUUCUCAUCUAUGUCCCUAAAUUCUGAUUCUCUCAAUUUGUUCAAUGUGUUUCUCCACUCAUGUGGAUCAUCCACUCCCCUCAAGCUUCCUGCCACUGCAAUAAUUCCCAAUGGCAAACCAGCACAUUCCCUAGCAAUAUCUUUCGCAAUUCCUUCCACUUCUGGUGAAAGUGCUAUGUCACGUCCAAGUUUCUCCAUGAACAAAUUCCAAGCUUCACCCUCAGAAAGUGGCUUCACUUUGAUUUUGUGGUGGCAAGCCAUCCGAUGACAAACCGUUUCUGAUCUAGUUGUCAUAAUCAGCUUGCAUCCUUUCGACAGCACAGGAAUUCCCACUUCAUCAAGCUCAAAAUUGUUCCACAAAUCAUCUAAAAUGAGGAUCCAUUUUUGUUUCGUCCUUAAUUCUUCUGACAAUUUGGCAGCUCUAUGCACAUCAUCAUCUUCGUUUGCAAGGUCUAGAUCAAGACAUUUAGCUAUGAGAUUCUGCAAUCUAGUAAUGCUGAAAUCUUGAGACACAGUCACCCACCAAAUAUUUGGUUUUUGUAGAAGCUCAUUAUGGAUAUGUUUGAGUAUUGUCGUUUUACCAAUCCCCCCCAUGCCAUAAAUGCCAAUGGUUGGGACUUUAUCAUCCAUUAACAAAGACCAUAUCUCCUUCGUUUUCUCUUCAAAUGCUUGACCCACUGGCUUUGUGGAGCUAGUAGGUAAUGGAACUCCUCUAGUCUUGUUGUAUUUCAGACUUUCAGAAGAUCUUGCUCCUGCGCUAGCCUCCUCCAUUGGUUCUGUCCUCACUCUAACCAUGUCCAGCGCAUCAUUGUUUACUGAUGGAGCACAAGGUUGAUCAUAACAUCCUCCAAUGUCAGGACAAAAUUGGGAUGAAUCUCCUCGAGGCUCCAGAAGCUGCACUUGCUCUGUUCUUGGAAUAGUCUCAAAUGCAUCAUGCUGAAAAGAUCCUUCACCUUGAACUCCCACUUGUACUGCUUGUAAAUGCGACUGAAUUCUCUCUUCUCCGGGACCUUGUUCCACGCCUUGAACUCCCACUUGUACUGCUUUGCUCUGUUCCAACACUCGAUCCACGGGUUCUGUCCUCGUUCUGCUCUCGAGUGCCCCUUCGGAAACUCCAUCUUCUUGUGCUCUCAUUCCGGUCAUGCUUGCUACGUCGUUUCCUGCUAUUGCAUGAGAAGAAAUCCUCUCUUCCCCUACCCCGGGUUCUACAACCUGAACUUCUCUUUGUACCCUUCCAAUACCUCCUACCAUUGUUGAGAUUGAACUUGCUGUGAUUUUAUGUCUUUUGUUGCCACCACGCAUAGCUAGAAAGGCUGCUUCUUGAACUUCUUUAGGCACCCCAAGACAAAUGGCAACAUUAUGCCCUUCCUCUCCUGAUAAAUGCCAUUUGAUCCUUGAAAUGGAGGUUUUAUUGGCAAAUGUACGUUGACAAAACUUACACUUCAUCCUACCCUCAUCACUUUCUUCAACAUGAUUCCAAAACGGAUCAUUUGAUCCAACCUUUUCGACCUAUAGAAAAAAGAAGUCAAAGUAUAGAACAAAAAUCAGUUAAAAUAUGGAAUAAAAAUUGACGGAUCAAGUUACAGAACAGAAGUUUCCGGAUUGAGAAACUAUUUUGCUAUCAAAAUUGAUAGUUAGUUUAUAGCACAAUCAUAGGGGAAAAAAGACUACGAUAAUUCAGUUAGACUUCUUACUUGUUGAGUAUUUAAACCCCUAUUUUGACUUUGGAAGGAAGUGUCAGGGCCAGGAUUAGAGGCAUUUGGCAUAGCAGUUUGAUUUUGCAAUCCUCCGGCUUGGAAUUUAUCCAUCUGUGACCUAUAUAUAAAUGAAAUGAUCAUAUUAUAAAAAUUUUCGAUAAUUGGUAGUCUCUCUUAAGCACUAAAAAUCAACGGUGUAUCUAAUUAUCGAAAAAGGUAUUAAUACUAUGCAGAAAAACUAAUUGUUUUUUUUACAGAAAAUACUAAAAAUGAAAAAUUGGAUACCAGGGAGCAGGAGAAGAAGGUCCAGGUUGAUUGAAGCCACCAUGUUGAGAAGUGGUUGCGUUCGGUGUCAUAUAGCCAUGUCCCGGCUGAGGUUGAUGAAUAAAGGAGUUCUGAUGCCUGAAUAAUAUUCAAAUAGUUAAACAUAGAACUGUUAUUCUCACAAAAAAGAGAGAUAGAGAGCUCAAAAAGACUUGAAAGAUCCACGUCAAUUUUGGUCAAGUUCAUUGUUUUCAUGAUUAAAAAAGUGUAUAUUCGAGGUUAAUACCUUUGAUUCAUUGGAGGUUGAGGUCCAGGUAGCAUCGUAGGCACUUGAUUGCUCAUUGGUAACUGAUAAUCAGUCCAUUGUUGGUCCCUAAAUGAGCAACAUUUGUUGGUGAUUUCUUUAUACAUAUGCAUAAUUCUUUGCUAUUAAUCCACUAAGCAUUUGAUAUCAUUUUAGCUUACCUCAAAGGCAUUGAUGGUCCAGGUAACAUGGGAUUGGCACAUUGAGGAUCAAAUAAAUUGGGAUUAGACUGAUACCUAUAUUCAAACAUAAUGAAUUCACUGAUAAGUACAACAACAAGAGGAAGAAGAAGAAGAAGUUAAAUAAUGAUUGAAAAACUUUUUUUUUUUUUCAGAAAAUACUAAACAUGAAAAAUUGGAUACCAGGGAGCAGGAAAAGAAGGUCCAGGUUGAUUGAAUUCACCAUGUUGUGAUGUGGUUGCGUUCGGUGUCAUAUAGCGAUGUCCCGUCUGUGGUUGAUGAAUAAAGGAAUUAUGAUGCCUAAUUCAAUGGACAUUGUAGCAAAUUGGAGUAAGCAUGAGUUCUCACCAUGGUUUCAGGAAAUGAAGUUGGAAACUGAGUUGUUUGUUGAAUACUAUCGUUGAUCACAAUGUUCUGUCCACCUUGAUCAUUGCAUAAUAUGGAGCCUUGGUUGACGUCAGCCGGCCUGCUUCCAUGGAAUAAGAUAGAGGAUAAACAGAAGAAUAACUAAAUUGCAAGCAAUCAUCUUCUGAUAAAAUAUGCUUAAGAAUGACGUACGGUGUCAUAUAGAGAAGUGGUGAUUGAAGACCGAAAAGAUCAUCAUCCAUAGAAGAUGGUGGGAACCCUUCCAUCUGACCAAAAGUACAAGAUGAUUAGUACAUACUGAGGUGAAAAAUGAACAGAAAGCACGUAGCAAAGGAAAAAAAAGAGUAUAUAUAUAUGAGUGGAUUACUGGGUACACACGUUACGUAAGUCAAAAUAAAAGAAAAACAAAUAAAUGGUGAAAAGCAUGUUUUAAUGGCAGUCCCAUUAAUUGGAAAAGAAAAGGGUGAAUCUAAGAAAAGAAAAGCCUAUUUUUUUUAUUUUUAAUAUUAAUAUAUCAAAAAAUAUUAAUUUAAUAGUUUUUUUUCAAAAUAAACAGAUUUUCAAAUGCACUCAAACAUAAUUCUAAGUACAAAAACAAAUUAUAUUUUGCUUGCGGGCAUAACAAUCCUGGCAGUACCGUUGCCGUUUUUUAGUUUACACAUUCUCUGGAGUGUCGAUUCCACAUUGAAGCAAAUUAAAAGAAUAAAAGCAAAUAUUAAAUGAUUUAAUAAAAGUGACUAAUGAAAAAGGUGCUUAAAUUCUACAAACAGCAGAUGGAUAGUCGGAAUCCCUUGAACACAUUUGAUAUUUUAAUUAUUCUUAUUUUGUUUAAUGUAAGGUAAUUACCAAUCAAGUUAAUUCAUUGAAUCAUUGUAAGGAAAAAAAAAGUUGAAAAAUACUGAAUAAAAAUGAAUUGCAGUCCCAUUAAUUGGAAAAGAAAAGGGUGAAUCUAAAAUGAGUUAAAAACACUACUUUACCUACCCCAAUUAUGAAGCUUAUAAGAAGAUGCCUAGAAAAUGUAAACACGUGAAUAUGAGAACCAAUAAUAUACUUUUCUUUUUAAAAAAAUUUUAUUUAAAAAAAUUAAAAUAAUAAUUUUUUUUAAAAAAAUUAUUUUUAAUAAAAAAAUAAUAAUUAAAAAAGAAAAAAAAUUCAAAGUUUUUGAAAAGCAUGUGCUCUAACAAUAACAUAUUAAAUAUGUGAUUAAUAGCAUGUGAUUAAAGGUUUUCAGUCGAUGCCAUUACAUGCAGUCAAAGACUCCAUCCUUACUUUUAAUAAACAAAACCUACACUCAAUAAUAUGUCCUAGUUUUUUUGGCCAGUGUUUUUCCGUGGUUUGAUUAAUUUUUUUAAAAUAUAAAAAUAAAAUGUUAAGAGUGAAGAAAGUUUGCGAGCGAUAUUAUUAAACCUAGUCAGGGAAGUUAAUAUUAAAAUCUUCUAACCUAAUUUUUUAUUUAAUUUAAAUUUUUCGAAGGACGAAAUUAAAAAAAAAUCAAUUACAAAAAUUAAAAGAAAAGAAAAAAAAAACAUAUUCGAUCAAUGAGUAAACCUGUCAAACUUGUGAAUCAAGUAAUUUGGGUUAGUACAUCAAACCCAUGAACCAGGUUAUGGACUUAACUAAGAUUAUAAUUAUUAAAUUUUUUUUUUUUUUAAUAAUAUGAUAACAAAAAUAGAUAAUUGUAAAAUUAAACACCAACCAUACACAUACACACACACUAAUUCGGCAAAACUAUGAAAUAGACAAAAAAAAUAAUUUAAAAAAAAUUAAAAAAAAGGGAAAAAAACAAAAAAAAGUAAAACACUGUCAAUUACUAUUAUAAUUCAUAAUGAAAUGAGUGUGGGUGAAUAGUGAUUCUCUUACACCUUUUAGUUUUUCUUUUAAUUAAUAAAUAAAAAAAAUAUCUCACCAAACCUAAAAUCUAGUAUAAUUUGAAUUAUUUUAACAAACCUGUAAAUCAGGUUAAUCUUAUAAAAAAAAUAGAAUAAAAAUUAAUAAAUUGAAGCUGAAUUAUAACCUGCCUAUAAUAAAAUAAACAAAAACAAUUUUUUUUUUUUUAAAAAGGGCAAAACACCUUGAAUUACGUACUAUUGUAAUUUACAAUGAAAUAGGUGUGGAUAUAUAGUGAUUCUCCCAAGUCUCUUAGCUUUUCUUUUAAUGAAAAUUAAUAACCGUAUAAUAUACUUUCUUGUGGAUGCUCUAUCGUUGCUAAAUUAAAACAUAUAUAUAUUUUUUUAUCUACAUCUAUGUGAAACUUUUUUAAAAUAAAAAUAUUUAAAAAGAUAAUGUUAAAAAAAAACAUUGUUAUUUUAUUUUUAUUUUUAAUAAAUACCAUCAUAAUAUGAUAUGGUUUUCUUUUUUACUCAGGUUAUUCAGUUAAUAUGUGAGUCAACCAGUAAACUAAACUUUGGAAUACGUUUCUUAACUAUUCGUAAGCUUCUUAUUUAUUCUUAGUAAUUAAAAUAUUUUUUUAUUUUUAAUAUUAAUAUAUUAAAAAAUAUUAAUUUAAUAUAAUUUUUAAAUAAUCAGAUUUUUUAAUAAACAUAACUCUGAGUACAAAAACAAAUUAUGUUUAGAUUGCGGGCAUAAGCAUAACAAUCUUGACAGUACCGUUGUUGUUUGGACUUUGAGAAUGAUAAAACAAAAGAGUUAGAAUAAAUUUAAAAUAAAAAAUUAAUUUUCUAAAAAUACUUUUAAAAUAUAAAAACAAACUAAUGAUAAAAUAGACUUUCAUACACUUAUCAAAAUCGCAGGAACGCAACAAUCAGGCAUUAGCUUCAAGCAACCAGAGGGAGCUUCACUGCAGUAGAAAACUUCAACAUAGCUUGAUUUGCUAUCCAAUCUGCACACCAUUGGAUAGCAAUUUCUUUUCAUAACAUUUACCUUUGUAAAAAAUUUCUACUUAUUUUUAGUUUUAAUAUCAAAUUCAGUCUUUAAUAUUUAUCUUCAAAAUUUUAAUAUAAAAUUUGACGGUCAAAAUUUCACUUAUUUUUAAUCAAUUAAAUUGAACAAAAUUUUGUUAAGUCAAACAUCAACUCUACAUUGAAUUGUUUUUAGUUUUAAUAUCAAAUUCAGUCUUUAAUAUUUAUCUUCAAAAUUUUAAUAUAAAAUUUGACGGUCAAAAUUUCACUUAUUUUUAAUCAAUUAAAUUGAACAAAAUUUUGUUAAGUCAAACAUCAACUCUACAUUGAAUUGUUUUUCUUCUUAGACCACAAGAGCUCCAUAACAAGUUUAUUGAAAUAAAUUAUCAAAUGAAAUUAAAGGAAUUAUGAUGCCUUGAUGGAGUUUGAGGCCAAUUUUAUAUGAAACUUAAUGAUAAAAAAAUGUCUAAAUCUCCCAAUUGUUGUCUGUUUGUUUAACAGUAAAGAAUUUGAAGAUGCUCGAGAUCGAUACACUAAACAUAAAACUUUUUGUAUAAUACAAACACUUGCUAAUUCAUUGGACAUUGUAGCAAAUUGGAGCACUCACCAUUGUUUCAGGAAAGGACGUUGAAAACGGAGUUGUUUGUUGAAUACUAUUGUUGAUCACAUUGUUCUGUCCACCUUGAUCAUUGCAUGAUAUGGAGCUUUGGUUGACUGGAACCUCCGGUGGUGGCCUGCUUCCAAGGACAGUGACGACAUUAUAUUGUUUUUUGGCAAUAAUAGGAUAAACCGAAGAAUAACUAAAUUGCAAGCAAUCAUCUUCUGAUAAAAUAUGCUUAAAAAUGACGUACGAGAGAAGCUCAAUGUCGGGCAAUAGUGAUUGAAAAUCGAGCUCAUUCCACAUCAUGUUGACAUCCUCCUCUAUAGAAGAUGGUGGGAACCCUUCCAUCUGACCAGAAAAGAUCAGAAAAGAGAAAAAGAACAGAAAGCACGGAUCAGAAAAGAACAUAUAUAUGACUUACUUGUUGGUUAAAGAAAUUCGGAUGAAAAAUAUGAAAUAUAAAUGUUGUUGUUAAUGAUUUAAUCCUGUCUUUUAAGCUAAAUUAUCAUACUCAAAUUCUUUUUAUGAUAGAUAGAAAGAUGCAGGAUAACUGGUGAACAAAAACCUCUUUCAACUCCUCUUUAUUCAUAAUUUGGGGAGCAAAACAAAUGCAAGAUUCAUUGUUUACUGUUAAACAAACCUCUUUCAACUCCUAUUUAUUCUUUUUUAAUUAUUCUUAUUUUGUUUAUUGAAAGGUAAUUACCGAUCAAGUUAAUUCAUUGAAUCAUUGUAAGAAAAAAAAAAGUUGAAAAAUACUGAAUAAAAAUGAAUGGCAGUCCCAUUAAUUGGAAAAGAAAAGGGUGAAUCUAAAAUAAGGAGUUAAAAACGGCAAAGAAUCUUGAAAAGACGAAAACAAUGAAUUUAGUAUUGAUUUAGUAUGAACUCUCUCCACAAGGCAUGGAUUAUAAAAUCCGAGAAAAAGAUCAAUUUAUUUAUCAUGGAUUCCUUUAAAGAUUCAAACCAUACUUACAUAUAUAAAAACAAAAACACCAACAAGAUGAAGUACAAAUAAUUUACCAACAAGAUUCAGGUGCUGGUUUGCUUGAGCAGUAUUCAGCCAAAAAAAAAAGGAAGAGAAAUCACAGAUCACAGAAGAAUAUAUGGUUUAGAAAAAUAAUAAAGUUGCAGCAUACAUAAAUCUAGUUCGCACUGAUCAUGAGAUGUGGAAAGGAAAAUACGGAAUUGUAUAAUGAGAUGAGAUGUGGAAAAGAAUGUUACAGCAGCCGGCUAGAGCGUAUUUGGUAGUGUAGUAACAGUUGUUUUUCAAAUAGUUUUACAUGCUGAAAUACAUGCAAAUGAUAAUAAUAAUAAGUAAUUAACGUAUUGUUUGAUAGGAAGGAAGUUGCCAGGAAGCAACCCAAACAUAUUACAUUACAAGAUAUAGAAAGUUAACGUGUGGACCCGCCUCCAUGUUCACACUUCGAAGAAGCUGCCAAGAAAAUGUAAACACAUGAAAAUGAGAAAGAAUAGCAUAUUUCCGCUUUUGAAAAAUCAUUCAUCACUUUUAAAUACGCAAAUGAUUAUUAAGAAAAUUCAACGACAACAAUACACUCAAGAGCAAUAUUACAGUAAAGAAAUUAAAUCAAUACAGAUAAAUAAAUGAUCCAAAUAUAAUUAAAGAAUCAAUCCAUUUAAUCGAAAAAAACAUGACUGAAUCCAUAAACUACAUGCCCCUCUUUUUCUAAAGGAGGCAGCCCCACUUUUUCAUCACGUCGCCAUGGUCCCCGUGUCCCACACGUUUUUCAGUGACUUUUUGUCAGUUAAAAUUAUUAAAUGAUUUUUGUGGUGAUUUUAGCCCAGCUUUGGGGUAUCAAGUUUCCACGGAGACAAAUUAAAAGAAUAGAAAAAAAUAUUACAUGGAGACAAAUUAAGAGAAUUGAAGAAAAUAUUAAAUGAUUUAAUAGAGAUUAAAAUUUAAUUUUAAAUACAAAUUAAAAUAAAGCAAGGUGACUAAUGGAGAAAGUAGUGGAAUUCUACAAACAGUAGAGCGUCGGGAAUCCUUGCACUUCGCUUUUGAAAAAUCAUUCAUCACUUUUAAAUACGCAAACGACAACAAUAUACCCAAGAGCAAUAUUACAGUAAAGAGAUUAAAUCAAUACAGAUAAAUAUAUGAUCCAAAUAUAAUUAAAGAAUCAAUCCAUUUAAUCGAAAAAAACAUGACUUUUUCAUCAUGUCGCCGUGGUCCCCGUGUCCCACACGUUUUUAAAUGCGUCCAGGCUGGUUCAAAGUGAAUUUCACGACUCCUGAACCUUGACUUGUCUGUGAGAGCUUCAACUCUACAUUGAAAUGCUUUUUCUUAAACUGUGAGACUCAUAAUAAGCUUAUUGAAAUAAAUUAUUAUAAUGAAAUUAAAAACAAAAAUGCUUUAAAAAAAAACAGAGAGACGCCGUGUUUUCUCUAUUGCUACAUGGUAAAAGUCUGAGCAUAUUUAUUAUUAUUAUUAUUAUUAUUAUUAUUAUUAUUUUAAUAAUAUUACUGUUCUAUCUACCGCCUAGAAAUCAAGAACGCUAGUUUCAUUUAAAAGAUUCUAAAGUUCAUAAAUUAGCAGACAGGACGAAAACACAACAAAUCAUACCCAGAGAAGCAAAAGCCAGAAACAAGCUACCUCAAUUCCUGCUCCACCUGGCUAAGAAAUGCAGCGUGCCCACUUGGAAUUACACAUCAUCCAAAUUCCAGGGCAAAUAAUUGGUUGGAAUUGUUUUCUGAGGAGUCAUCUCAAAUUUGAAAAAUAAAAACAGAAAAUAGAUCCAGCAAAUGAUUCCAAAUAUCUUCUAAAAAGAACAAUGAAAUAUGUUUUUUUAUUUACUGUAAGGAAAGAUAUUAAUGGAAAAAAUAAAAAAAUCAAUUUAAAAAAUAUAUAAUAAGUCAAAAUCUAGACUUAAAAUCUAACUAGGUUCCUAGUUGAAUUGAAUAAUUGAGAGUGAAACGUGUCAAGACUGACACGAGUUCAGAAUAGACUCCACAACAGAAAAAACAAAAAAAAACGAUCCAUAUUGUGGCCCGUAGUAGUAUUCCGGAGGAGAGGGUCAAAGAUGGCGGCUGGUUCAAAGGACGAGCUUAAUCUCAUGAAUCAUUUUUAAACCUUUAUAGUAGGAAUUGACACGUGUCCUCUAAACCCUCCUGUCCAUGGUUGUUAAAAUUGCGUUUUAACUUGUAAAAUUGUAUGAUUUUACGAGUCAAAACAUGCAUUACAGGUUGAAUCGCUUGAAAAAAUCAAAAAUGGAUAAAAUCGGGUUGAAAUCAAGUGAAAUCGCGCAACAUCGUGAUUUCAGGACCGAUUUUGCGAUUUUGACAAAAUUAGGCACUGAAACAAAAUUCCCUCCCUCAUGUCCAGCUGUCUUCACUUUUUUUCAGCCUAUUUGGUCCUUGGACUUUAAUUUUCUAGCAAUGUUUCUUUGUAUGAGCUCCAAACUUUGGUGUUUUUUCAAUUGAACCCCCGAUUCCUUUAAUUAAUUAAAUCAAAGUUUAAUUAAGUCCUCAAACUCAUCAAUUCCUUAAUUAAGCUCAUGAUUUCAUUAAUUAAACUAAUCCAAAUUUUAAUUAAAUUCUCAAAGUUAUUAAUUCUUCAAUUUCUAACAAAUUGACUCUCAAAUUUUAUUUGAAUCAUGUAUUUUAAGAUGCUUGAACUAUGUAUGAAUUUUUAUUUGAAGGCUUGAAAUAUGUAUGAAUUUUUAUUUGAAGCAUGAAUUUUUUUUAAUGUAUUUUAAAAUUCCUUACGAUUUUACGAUCCGAGUUUAUGAACGGCUUUCCGUGUCGUGUUAAAAUCGUGAUUUUAACAACCUUGCUCCUGUCCCUCUUCCGAUCCUUGCUAAACCCCUUGUUCUGGUUGUAAUCAUCCAUUAGCGUAAACCUAUGCUUCUCUUGACUUUGAUCCCAAUAAACCAACCCAUAGAGUUGGUGGUAAUGUAAAUGAUAUUACUUUUUAAAUUAUUUUUAUUUUAAAAAAUAUGAAACUAAUUUUAGGCCCCGUUUAUUUGCUGGAAAGUAGUUUAUUUGCUGGAAAAUAGUUUCUUUUUGGAAAGUGAAUUCCGAGGAAAGUGAAUUAUGAGAAAGUAUUUUUCGAUGUUUGGUAGUGUAAUGAAAAAUAAGUUGGAAAACACUUUCCAGUGUUUGGUUAUGUCAUGAAAAAUGAGCUGAAAAAUAAUUUAUUAAUAUUUUAUUUUUCUCAAGUUUAUUAAAAUAAUGAGGAACAAAUCUUACAAAUUAAAAAGUUGAAUGAGAAUGAAAUUGAAAAAACAAAAUCUAAUUUCAUGAAUUAUCUCAAAUAAAAUAAAUAAUAAUCAAAAUAAUAGAGAUCAAAUCUAAAAAAUUAAUAAAAAAUAAAAGAUGAAGAAAUUAAAAUAAUAAUAAUCAAUAUUUCAUAAAUUAUUUCAAAUAAAAUAAGUAACAAUCAAAAGAAUGAGGAUCAAAUUUGAUAGAUAAAAAAUUUCAAUAAAAAAAUGAUAAGGAAAAAGCAAAUAGCAAUUAUAAAAAUAAGGAUCAAAGUUAAUAUAAAAAUAAAAUUUUAAGAGAUGAAAUUAAAAAAUAAAUAUUUAAAACAAAAUAUAUAUAGCAAUCAAAAGUUUGAGGAUCAAAUUUGAUAUAAUCAGCAAAUAAUGAUAUUUUUAAAUUUUUUCCCAACUUCCGGAAAGUGUUUUCCCUCCAAAUUUUUCAGGAAAAUAUUUUCCUGAAAACCAAGUUAAAUUUUUCUUUUACUGGAAAGUGGUUUCCAUUGACCAACUUUACUAUUGGCAAACAAACACAAGAAAGUUUGGGAAGUGAUUUUCCGGAAAUCACUUUCCGGAAAACAAACAUAGCUAAAGGGAAAACACUUUUCUGAAAACCAAGUCAAAUGUUUCUUUGACUGAAAUUAACCGGAAAGUGUUUUCCGUUGACCAACUUUCCUAAUGACAAACAAACACAUGAAAGUUUGGAAAAUGGUUUCCCGGAAACUACUUUUCGAGAAACAAACAUGACCUUAAUGCGUUGGUAUUAACAAAAAUUUUAAAAAUAUUAUAUUAAUAUAUUUUUAUUUGAAAAAUAUUUUAAAAAAACCGUAUGUAGAAUUACUAAACACCCUUAAGCCAGUGAACAAAGACACUAACGACAAAAUACAAAGGAAAAGGGAUAAAAGCAUAUAUUUGGAGAUGACAAAAGGGCUUUGAGAUCAAAGAGGAUAAGUUUUUUCUUUUUUAAUUUUAAUAAUACUUCUGUUCUUUCUAUCCCAAGAAAUAGAGAAUGCUAGUUUCAUUCAUCAAGAUUCUAAAUCUUAUAUUUAGAUAAAUUAGUAGAAAGGACAAAAACCCUAACAAAGAAAUGCAGCAUGCCCGCUUUGAAUUAUAGAUCAUCCAAAUUCCAGGGUAAAUAAUUCGAGAGUAAUUUGAUAGUGUUUAUAGAUUAAUUAAUGAUAUUUUAUUACUUUUUUAUAUUUAUUUUAAAAAAUAAAGAGAUACAACUAGAAAAAGAAAAAUUCAAGAUGAAAAUAUUCUUAUUAUUUUUUAUGAGUCAUGAAUUAUAUAUAUAUAUUUUUAAAUGAAUCUAGAUAAUAACUAAUAAUAUAUCCCUAGUGAUUCCCCUAAUCAUUAUAAAAUAUUGCGUGGGAAAUGCAGGUGAAGAAUUAGAAACAAGGAAAAAUGUCGAGACAAUGAAAAUUAAUUGUUAUAUAAUUGUACAUGGCAUACACUUUAAAGCUCCGAACCUCAGUAAAUGAUUUAAUAGAGAAUAAAAUUUAAUUUUAAAUGCAAAUUAAAAUAAAGCAGAGUGACUCAUGGAGAAAGCACAACUGGAAUUCUACAAACAGUAGAGCGUCGGGAAUCCUUGCACACCUUUGGUAAUUUAAUUAUUCUUAUUUCGUUUAAUAACUCAAAUAUAAUAAAGAAUUAAUCCAUUUAAUAGAGAAAACAUGACUGAAUCCAUAAACCACAUAAAUCCCUUUUUCUUAUCUGGUGCAAUUCCCAUGCGUCUUCUUUAUUCCAAAUGCCCCUCUUUUCAAAUUAGGCAUCUUCAAUUCAAUCUCCUUUUUCAUCACGUCUCCAUGAUCCCCGUUGUGUCACAAACAAAUUGCCUAAAGUUUAGGACUUUUUAUUGACAGCCACGUACAUGCUUUAGGAGUUUCUUUUUUGAAAUCCUCAUUAGAGGCUAAUUUAUAGCCUUUCAAGAUACCUUUCCAACACGUCAAGAAUCACAGCAAUCCGAUAUGUGAGUGAAAAGUUAUGAUUAAAAUACUAAAAUGUGUGGAAAAGAUACCUUUCCUACGACUUUGCUAAAAUUAUCUGACAAAUUAUCAGGCUUAUAAAAAAGCUUAAUAAAAUCAGAAAAAAAAAUCAUUUUUAUUCAAUAAAAUAAAAAAGAAAACUCAGGUAAUAAAUGUUCAAUUCACUUUCCAGCCAACAAUAAAAAAUGAAAGUAUUUUUAUUCAAUAAUACUUCUUGGCUUACAAAUAAGCUGCCAACAAUUAUAUAAGAAUCAAAUCUCUCCGAUCACAUGAUCGUUUAAAAUGCUCAACACUUAGAAAGCAAAUUUACAGAAUAAUAAGUCUAGCAAACUUCUUGAUAUAUAUAUAUUAUUCAACCAAAUAAUUGCUUGUGACAUAUAGGUGGCGAGCUUCCUAGUAUUAAAAAUUUAAGAUCAUCAAAUAAUUAAACUUUUUAUCCAAAGCAAUAAAUUUUAUGUGUCUAUUUUAAAAUUUGGUUUUCGAAAGAAAAUCAAAAUGACAUAUCAAACAAUACCUAUAAAUCUUUUAUAUUACAGAUUAACUAUAACACCUAUUUAUCAUUCUUAAGGUCAAUAUUUAGGAAUAAAUGAAUAAAAGCUACGUAUCAAUAUUUAAUUUAAGUAAUCUCAAAGACUACUAAUUUAGCUUUUGAUAUUAAAAGGGCGUAUGUCGUUACUCUCUGCCUAGUUGAUGGGGAAAAUAUCAGGUCUUCUAUCUCCACCACUCCCUGCUAACUCUUUUCCUCAUAUCUUACGUUAUAUCUAUCAAGUUUGCUUAAUUAAGAUGGAAUAUUUAUGACUUUUAUAUGUAUUAAAUCAAUUUAAUUGUUUUGACUUAUCAUGAUCAACAUGAAGUCAUCAUAUUAUAAAACCAAAAAUCAAUGGUGUAUCUAAUUAUCAAAAAGGUAUAAAUAUUGCUAUGAAGUUAACGUGUGGACCACCCCAAUUAUGAAGCUCGGAAGAUGCCUAGAAAAUGUAAACACGUGAAUAUUGAAAACAAUAACAUACUUUCCUUUUUAAAAUGUUUUUUAUUUUGAAAAAAAAAAUUUAAUAAAAAAAUUAAUAAUUUAAAAAGUAAAAAAAAUUCAAUUUUGUUGAAAAACAUUUGCUUUAACAAUGACAUAUUAAAUAUGUGAUUAAUUAAGAGCAUGUGAUUCCUUUUGUUUUUAGUUGUUUUUUCAAAAAAAGAUAUAUAGAUUUUUUUAAUGUUUUUUUUUAUAUAAUUUUAAUGUAUUAAUAUUAAAAAUAAAAUAAAUAAAUAAAUAAAUCAUGUAGUCUAUUUCCAAACCAAUCUAAUAUUGGAGGUCGAAAUUAAAAAAAAAACCAAUUAAAAAAAUUAAAAGAUAAAAUUAAAAAAAAAAAACAUAUUCGAUCAGUGAAUAAAUAUAUUAAACCUGUAAAUCAGGUAACUUGAGCUAACACAUCAAACUUAUUAACAAGGUUAUGGAUACCAAUUGAGUUACUUUUAGGAUAUUUUUUUGGCAGCCACGUAUAUGCUUUAGGAGUUCUUUUUAUUAAAUCAAUAUUAAAGUAAAAAAAUUAAAUCAAUACAGAUAAAUAAAUGAACUAAAUGUAAUCAAACAAUUAAUCCAUUUAACAGAAAAAACAUUACUGAAUCCAUAAACUACAUUAAUCCCUUCCUUUUCUUGUUUUUUUUUUUUUCUCUGGUGGAAUUCCCACACGUCUUCUUUAUGGGCAGCCCCACUUUUAAACCCUCUUUUUCAUCACGUCCCCAUGGUCCCCGUGUCCCACACCUUUUCAUCAAAAACCUAAAUUUUAGGACUUCUUUGGCAGCCAUCUAACAAUAUAUAAAAAUAAUAUUUUUAUUUUUAAAAAAUUAUUUUUAACAUCAAUACAUUAAAUAAUCUAAAAAUAUAAAAAAAAUAUUUAAAAAAAUCAAAAUUUUUAAAAACACAAGCAUUCCCAAACAAGAUAACGCGUCAAGAAUCACAACAAUCUGACAUGUGAGUGGAAAGUUGUGAUUAAAACACAUUACUACUUUUAGAUUGAUUUUGACAGCGUAGCAGGAAACGUCAUUAUUGUUAUUUUUAAAAUAUUUUUUUUAUUUAUAAAUAUAUUAAAAUAAAAGUUGUUAAUUUCGUUUCGUUUUAUUUGUAAUGAUUUCAUACUAAUUCAAAAAAUGAAAUAAAACAAAAUAAUUUUUAUCUUAUUUCAAAUAUCAGUCCCUUCCAAAUUUUUCAGCUAAAUUCCGUUUAGAAUGUUCCGGUUUCAUUCCACAUGUUCUGUUCUGGUCUUAAAAAGCUAUUGAAUCAAAUUGAACCUGGUUCAAUUAAUUAAUUAAACCAUCAAAGUAUAAAAAGCUCUUUUUCAUUACUAUUUUCAUUAACUAUGAUAUUAAUUUUUUGAAAUUUGAUUUAUCACUAAUAUUUAUGGUUUAUAUUCAUGUUGUUUUUUUUCAAGUUUAUACUUUGUAGGAAUUUAAGCAAAAAAAAUAGAUGUUUUAGAUCUCAUUAGCCUUGAUAACAUUGACCUAGCUUUAUAUUUAAAAUAUUAGUGUUAAAAUAUUUUAAUUUCAUAAUAUUUUGAUAUUUUAUUGAAGUUGAAUUGUUUUAAGUUAAAAAAUUAUUUAAUUUUAACUAUUUAAAAAUAUUUUAAAUUUUAAAAUUAUAUUUCAUCACGUCUCCAUGAUCCCAGUUGUGUCAAAAACAAAUUGCCUAAAUUUUAGGCUUUAGCAGUUCCUUUUUUGAAAUACUCAUUAGUGAAAUUUCACGACUCCAGCUGGGCCUUGACUUGUCUGUUUAAUUUCUAUUAUUUUUAUUCCAUUUUAGCAUUUUAGCAUUUAAUACUCAUCAAAACCACUAAAACGAAAUCAAGCUCUAGCUUCAAACAACCAGAGGGAGAUUUUAUAGGGAUAAAAUUUUAAAAAUCACGCCUAUGCUACUUUCUAGUUUUAGUAUUAAAUUUAAUAUUUAAAAAAUGUGUUUAUGAAUAUGGGAGUUUCAGGUUUAGAAACCAAAACUGUCAUAUUCAUACUCUCUCUUAGACAUUUUAAAAAUGUGUGUAGAAGAAUACUUUCACUGAUGAUUUAUAAUAUUAGGUUAGUUUAAUGAUAAAUCAAUAUAGUAUUUUUUUUAUUUCUUGGAUUUUCAUCUUGGAGAAAUUCAAUAGGAUGAAAAUAUAAUAUUAAUCAAACUUCAAAUUAUAAUUGUUUAUCUAUCGAGUUAAAAAAAAAUAUGACAAUUCAGUAGUCUUUAAUGAAAUAAAACAAAAUGAAAAAUGUUAUUUAUGUAAUUGUAAGCAUACUAUAUUAUAUUACUUUUACAAAGGGACGAAGGACAUCCUUUGCGUUAGGAUGCUCCCACUCCACUACUGACUCCCACCAUUCUUCUGGAUAUACCACAAUUUCUUUAAGAGAAGGGGGAGGAGAUGGCUGGCCAUUUUCAAGCAACGGAAGACAAAUUGGCAUCCUCUUCAGCUUCUCACAAGACAUUACACUAAUAUCUUCAAGAGAAUUGCAAAUCAGUUUUGCACUGCAAAUGCUUUUCAGUUCUGGUAAGUAAAUCAAUUCCAGAGUUUUUAACUUUGGGAGAAUGACUUCCGUGAUGGAAUUGGAGGUGCUGCUUUCUUCAUCUGUUGUUCCUAUUAUCUCCUCCAUUUUCUCACAGCACCUCACAUCAAUCCUUUCCAGGUUUACGAGGAUUGGCAGCAACACAAGUGGGAACAGCUUCUUCAUACUUUUACACCAUCCACAAUUAAACUCUUUAAGACCAGAAAACGUACCGUUACAUGAUGGCAAUCGUGGUGGAGCAGAGCAGAACCAAGAAGAUGAAACCAAGCUCUCCAUGUUAUCGCAUUCCCGAAUGCUGAUGCGCUCCAGUUCAGUUGCAUUCUCUAAUGACAAAACAUCACAUAAACUUCUUGCAUCGAUGCAUUCACAAAUCAGUCCUUGAAUGCCAUUUAAGAACUUGACCUGAAAAUCUCUAUCUCCUUUGAUACUCAAAUUACCCAACCCAACUGUUUUACUUGGAAAACGUUCAAUGCGUUGCUCUAAAUAUCUAUCCACCUCUGCUACUAAAAUCUUGCAUGUGCUUAAUGAUAGGAUCCCAUCCCGAGAUCUGAGAUACUCCACGAAGUCAGAAAAACCUUCGAAAUGGCACUCCAAAGUUUCCAAAUUUCUCAAGGAUCCUACUUCCUUUCCUUUAACUGUUAUCGGAGCAUAACAUUCCCCUAUAAACUCUUCUAGUACAAAGACUUGCAGGUGAGAGAGUUUUGGUAAUAUCCCACUAGGAAACUCCUUUUCACCAUAUCCAUUCAUUCUAAGAUACCUCAGGUUGGUUAGGCAUUCCAUUCCUUGCGGUAUCUUUUCAAGUGCAGUAUGAGAGAGACUCAAUCUCUUCAGUGCCUGGAGCUUCUCUAAUG
rnacentral:lncRNA from 1 species